CCGUUGGUCAAAAAAGGUUUUUUGUCAGAGAGGCGGGAGAGCAAAAAGGAGGUUGUGCUGGCGGGGGGUUACAAAGGGGGGUGACUCCCUUUCCCCCUCUGGUCUGCCUCUUUCUCCUCCUCGAAACCUUCCUCCCCGCGUACAGCACUGGGGAUCGGUUGGCGCUUUUCGGCGGAAAGGGCGGUUUGAGAAAGAAGGGUGAAAGCGGGUGGUCGUUUGCCGGAAGGCGAAAGCUGGAUGGCCGGUCGCCUGUGGAAACCUGGAAUCUUAUUCCCCCUGACUGUCGUGGUGCUUCCGUACCCUCGGUGUCAGCGGGAGGAGGUCGAAAAUCAAAAUAAAAAUAACGUGUCAUGAUUAAGAGGGACGGCCGGGGGCAUUCGUACCGCGGCGCGAGAGGUGAAAUUCUAGGACCGUCGCGAGACGAACGAUAGCGAAAGCAUUUGCCAAGAAUGUUUUCCUUAAUCAAGAACGAAAGUCGGAGGUUCGAAGGCGAUCAGAUACCGCCCUAGUUCCGACCUUAAACCAUGCCGUCCGACCGCCCGCCAGGGUUACUACCGCGACUCGGCGGGCGGUGUCUUUCCACCGGGAAACCCUUAAGCUUUCGGGUUCCGGGGGAAGUACGGUCGCAAAGCUGAAACUUAAAGGAAUUGACGGAAGGGCACCACCAGGAGUGGAGCCUGCGGCUUAAUUUGACUCAACACGGGGAACCUCACCCGGCCCGGACACCGCGAGGAUUGACAGAUCGAUAGCUCUUUCUCGAUCCGGUGGGUGGUGGUGCAUGGCCGUUCUUAGUUGGUGGAGCGAUCUGUCUGGUUAAUUCCGAUAACGAACGAGACUCUAGCCGGUUAAGUAGCCCGAGUGGCGUGUUGUUGAUUUAAAAACCGCCCUAGUGGCAUUCGGUGUGUUUCUUGAAUGUUGUCUGACUUUAACGGUGAUGGGACGGGGAGGUGAAAGACGACGGAUUCGGGUCCGCGUUUGUCGCGGCUUGGGUCCUGUUUUCUUAACUUCCCUUUAAUCCUGUCUCGUUUUGGCCUUUCACUUUUGGGAACCUCUGUUUGCUUUACUGGGGUAGAUAAAACGCUAACGAGAGUCGGGGGGAGUGGACGUUACUUGUGGAAUUGGGGGGCGCGCCUUAGUGGUUCGUCCCUCUUCCUGGUUUCGCUUUUCUGCUUUCCUCGUCGUCUCGCGCCACCGGCUUUCGAGUGCAAAAGCUUCUUAGAGGGACGAGCGGCGUUCAGCCGCGCGAGAUUGAGCGAUAAC
rnacentral:rRNA from 1 species